GACGAACGCUGGCGGCGUGCCUAAUACAUGCAAGUUGAGCGCUGAAGGUUGGUACUUGUACCAACUGGAUGAGCAGCGAACGGGUGAGUAACGCGUGGGGAAUCUGCCUUUGAGCGGGGGACAACAUUUGGAAACGAAUGCUAAUACCGCAUAAAAACUUUAAACACAAGUUUUAAGUUUGAAAGAUGCAAUUGCAUCACUCAAAGAUGAUCCCGCGUUGUAUUAGCUAGUUGGUGAGGUAAAGGCUCACCAAGGCGAUGAUACAUAGCCGACCUGAGAGGGUGAUCGGCCACAGUGGGACGGAGACACGACCCAAACGCCUACGGGAGGCAGCAGUAGGGAAACUUCGGCAAUGGACGAAAGUCUGACCGAGCAACGCCGCGUGAGUGAAGAAGGUUUUCGGAUCGUAAAACUCGGUUGGUAGAGAAGAACGUUGGUGAGAGUGGAAAGCUCAUCAAGUGACGGUAACUACCCAGAAAGGGACGGCUAACUACGUG
rnacentral:rRNA from 1 species